rnacentral:rRNA from 1 species
UUACGGUCAAAUCACGCUGAAACACAGGUUCUCGUUCGAUCACCGAAGUUAAGCAGCGUAGAGCCUGGUCAGUACUUAGAUGGGGGACCGCUUGGGAACACCUGGUACUGUAAG